rnacentral:rRNA from 1 species
UACGGAGGGUGCAAGCGUUAUCCGGAUUUACUGGGUUUAAAGGGCGCGCAGGCGGAUUGGUAAGUCAGUGGUGAAAUACCCGUGCUUAACAUGGGAACUGCCAUUGAUACUAUCAGCCUUGAAUAUCGUUGAGGUUUGCGGAAUGGGUCAUGUAGCGGUGAAAUGCAUAGAUAUGACCCGGAACACCUAUUGCGAAGGCAGCAGGCUAAACGAAGAUUGACGCUGAGGCUCGAAAGCGUGGGGAUCAAACAGG